rnacentral:rRNA from 1 species
GACGAACGCUGGCGGCGUGCUUAACACAUGCAAGUCGAGCGAGAAAGUUUCCUUCGGGAGACGAGUACAGCGGCGGACGGGUGAGUAACACGUGAACAACCUGCCCUUGAGUCUGGGAUAACACCGGGAAAUCGGUGCUAAUACCGGAUAUGCUCUAUGGACCGCAUGGUUUAUAGAGGAAAGGUUUACUGCUCAAGGAUGGGUUCGCGUCCCAUUAGCUAGUUGGUGAGGUAACGGCCCACCAAGGCGACGAUGGGUAGCCGGCCUGAGAGGGUGGACGGCCACACUGGAACUGAGACACGGUCCAGACUCCUACGGGAGGCAGCAGUGGGGAAUUUUGCGCAAUGGGGGAAACCCUGACGCAGCGACGCCGCGUGAGCGAUGAAGGUUUUCGGAUCGUAAAGCUCUGUCACAGGGGACGAUAGUGACGGUACCCUGGGAGGAAGCCCCGGCUAACUACGUG